rnacentral:rRNA from 1 species
CCUACGGGGGGCUGCAGUGAGGAAUAUUGGUCAAUGGGCUUACGCCUGAACCAGCCAAGUCGCGUGAGGGAAGACUGCCCUAUGGGUUGUAAACCUCUUUUGUCAGGGAGCAAUUGGCGCUACGUGUAGCGUUAUCGAGAGUACCUGAAGAAAAAGCAUCGGCUAACUCCGUGCCAGCAGCCGCGGUAAUACGGAGGAUGCGAGCGUUAUCCGGAUUUAUUGGGUUUAAAGGGUGCGUAGGCGGAAUGCCAAGUCAGCGGUAAAAUCGCGGGGCUCAACCUCGCUCCGCCGUUGAAACUGGCGUACUUGAGUGGGCGAGAAGUAUGCGGAAUGCGUGGUGUAGCGGUGAAAUGCGUAGAUAUAUGGAAGAACACCAGUGGCGAAAGCGGCUCUCUGGUCUGUAACUGACGCUGAGGUUCGAAAGCGUGGGUAGCAAACAGGAUUAGAUACCCCAGUAGUC